rfam:Pteropus alecto contig45929, whole genome shotgun sequence.
GUCUAUGGCCACGCCACCCUAAACGUGCCCGAUCCCGUCUGAUCUCGGAAGCUAAGCAGGGUUGGGCCUGGUUAGUACUUGGAUGGGAGGCCGCUUAGGGAGACCAGGUGCUGUAGGUG